ACGUAGGAUCCGAGCGUUAUCCGAAUUCACUGGGCGUAAAGCGCGUGCAGGCGGUUCGGUAAGUUGGAUGUGAAAUCUCCUGGCUCAACUGGGAGAGGACGUUCAAUACUGUCGGACUAGAGGACGGUAGAGGGAGGUGGAAUUCCCGGUGUAGUGGUGAAAUGCGUAGAUAUCGGGAGGAACACCAGUGGCGAAGGCGGCCUCCUGGACCGUUCCUGACGCUCAGACGCGAAAGCUAGGGGAGCAAACGGGAUUAGAAACCCCGGUAGUCCUAGCCGUAAACUAUGUAGACUUGGUGUCGGUGGUGUAAAAACCAUCGGUGCCGUAGCUAACGCGUUAAGUCUACCGCCUGGGGACUACGGCCGCAAGGUUA
rnacentral:rRNA from 1 species